UGCUUGCUUGCCUUUGGCAAUUCAGGGAGUGGUUCGUCUGGUACCGUCGAGUCUUUGCUAACGUGAGGGCGUGUGAGUGGCGAUCGGGAUGUCUGUGCUGUCUGGCUCCAUGGUGAUGGUCAUGGAACUGUCAGCACGCAACCCUUCUCAGGUUGGCCUUGUGUCGUCGCGGCCUCGACGUUCACUUGUGGUUCUUGUGUUGCCUACCCGUUUAGCGGUAUUCAUGUGCCUCUUAAGACCCGUUCCAUCCAGACCCUCUCUAGAGGCUGCUGGGGAUUCGAAAGUGAUGCGCGUUUUGCGGUGACGGCUCUCGUGCUCACAUGUGUCUAUUGUUCCCUUGGAUGCGGUGCAUGCGGUGAACGUGGGCUGACCAUUGUGCCCCGUUGAGUCCCUUUGAUUUAUCGGUUGCCUUGAAUGACACUUUGCCGUAGUGCUGGUCUUGCUAUGCCAUUCGUGGUUGCAACACUUGCACGUGGAGCAGAGUCGUUGAUGG
rnacentral:misc_RNA from 1 species